rnacentral:rRNA from 1 species
GAUUGGACAUGGGGGCACCUCCAUCCAUUAUGCCGCGUGAGUGAAGAAGGCCUUCGGGUUGUAAAGCCCUUUUGUCAGGGAAGAAACACCGGCUCUAACACAGUCCGGGAAUGACGGUACCUGGAGAAUAAGCACCAGCUAACUACGUGCCAGCAGCCGCGGUAAUACGUAGGGUGCGAGCGUUAAUCGGAAUUACUGGGCGUAAAGCGUGCGCAGGCGGUUAUACAAGACAGGCGUGAAACCCCGGGCUUAACCUGGGAAUGGCGCCUGUGACUGUAUAGCUAGAGUGUGUCAGAGGGGGGUAGAAUUCCACGUGUAGCAGUGAAAUGCGUAGAUAUGUGGAGGAAUACCAAUGGCGAAGGCAGCCCCCUGGGAUAACACUGACGCUCAUGCACGAAAGCGUGGGGAGCAAACAGGAUUAGAUACCCUGGUAGUCCACGCCCUAAACGAUGCUGACUAGUUGUUCGGGAUUUACAUCCUGAGUAACGUAGCUAACGCGUGAAGUCAGACGCCUGGGGAGUACGGUCGCAAGAUUAAAACUCAAAGGAAUCGACGGGGAACCGCACAGGCGGUGGAUGAUGUGGAUUACUUCGAUGCAACGCGAAAAACCUU